rnacentral:lncRNA from 1 species
GUUCAGGGCUACAUGUGCAGGUUUGUUAUAUAGGUAAACUUGCGUCAUGGAGGUUUGAUGUAGAGAUUAUUUCAUUACCUAGGUACUAAGCCUAGUACCCAAUACCCAAUAGUUAUUUUUUUCUUUUUCUCUCCCUCCUAUUUGUUUUUAAACAAAUGGUUUUUUUCUUUUUUUUUUUGAGACAGAAUGUCACUCUGUCCCCCAGGCUGGAGUGCAGUGGUGCCAUCUUGGCUCACUGCAAGCUCCGCCUCCCGGGUUCCCGCCAUUCUCCUGCCUCAGCCUCCUGAGUAGCCGGACUACAGGCGCCGGCCACCCCACCGCGCUAAUUUUUUUGUAUUUUUUAGUAGAGACGGGGUUUUGUGUCCGGAAUUGGUGGGUUCUUGGUCUCACUGACUUCAAGAAUGAAGCCGCGGACCCUCGCAGUGAGUGCUACAGCUUUUAAGGUGGCGCCUUUGGAGUUUGUUCCUUCUGAUGUUCGGAUGUGUUCGGAGUUUCUUCCUUCUGGUGGGUUCGUGAUCUCGCUGGCUCAGGAGUGAAGCUGCAGACCUUCACGGGGAGUGUUACAGCUCUUAAGGUGGCACAUCUGGAGUUUGUUCCUUCUGACGUUCAGAUGUGUUCGGAGUUUCUUCCUUCUGGUGGGUUCGUGAUCUCGCUGGCUCAGGAGUGAAGCUGCAGACCUUCAGGGGGAGUGUUACAGCUCUUAAGGUGGCGCGUCUGGAGUUUCUUCCUUCUGGUGGGUUCGUGAUCUCGCUGGCUCAGGAGUGAAGCUGCAGACCUUCACGGAUCUCGCUGUGUUGCCCGGGCUGGUCUCAAACUUCUGGACACAAACAAUCCUCCACAUUGGCCUCCCAAAAUGCUGGAAUUACAGGUGUGAGCCACUGGACCAGCAGGACUCUAAAUUUUGGUGCUCAAAAAACAUUUGUUGAGUAAGUGAACCUGAGACUAUCAACAAGCAUUAUUUUAAAAUCACUAGCAAAGGAGAUUGUAAAAUCAGGAAGUAUAUCUAAGUCACCUCCAGUAGCCGUAACUCUACCUUGUCCAGUAAAAGGACAGUGUACAAAUCAUGAAUUCAAAUAACCACCAUGCAGGUCAAGAAGAUAAAAUCAGCAGCACAUUCCAGGUCACCCUCUUGUCUCUACCAUCCCUUCUCAUCUCUCCAAAUAUGACCAAUAACCUUAGUUUUGUCAGUGUUUGGAAUUUGUAUAAAUGUGAUUGUACAGAAUGUACCCUUUCGUAUCUGGUUUCUUUCAGUCAAUACUAUGCCUAUUUUAUUUAUUCAUGUUAAUGAAUGGAAAAAUAGUUCAUUUAUUUUAACUUCUGUUUGGCAUUCCGUUGUGUGAUCAUUCUACAAUAUAUGUAUUUUACCUAUAGCUGGUGGGCUUUGUGCGGCUUCCAGAAUAGUAAUGUUAUAUAUAGUGCUAUUAUAUUCAUUUUUGUAUGAAUACAAAUGGUACCUUUGUUUUGUUUUGAAUAGGAGGGGAUUUACUAGAUAAAUGGGUUAUGGGUGUUUUCAACUUUGACAGACCCUAAAAGUUUCUCAAAGUAAUAGUACCAAAUUACCUUCUCACCAGGAAUAUAAGAGGUCUAUUUUUUUCUAGGUCUUUGGUGAUAACUGCUGUUUUAGCCUUUUAAUUUUGUCAUAUUUGUUGAUUUGCUG